rnacentral:rRNA from 1 species
UUUUUUUUUUUUUUUUUUUUUUUCUUUUCUAGAGAACGCUGCGGCGUGCCUAAUACAUGCAAGUCGAACGAACUCUGGUAUUGAUUGGUGCUUGCAUCAUGAUUUACAUUUGAGUGAGUGGCGAACUGGUGAGUAACACGUGGGAAACCUGCCCAGAAGCGGGGGAUAACACCUGGAAACAGAUGCUAAUACCGCAUAACAACUUGGACCGCAUGGUCCGAGCUUGAAAGAUGGCUUCGGCUAUCACUUUUGGAUGGUCCCGCGGCGUAUUAGCUAGAUGGUGGGGUAACGGCUCACCAUGGCAAUGAUACGUAGCCGACCUGAGAGGGUAAUCGGCCACAUUGGGACUGAGACACGGCCCAAACUCCUACGGGAGGCAGCAGUAGGGAAUCUUCCACAAUGGACGAAAGUCUGAUGGAGCAACGCCGCGUGAGUGAAGAAGGGUUUCGGCUCGUAAAACUCUGUUGUUAAAGAAGAACAUAUCUGAGAGUAACUGUUCAGGUAUUGACGGUAUUUAACCAGAAAGCCACGGCUAACUACGUGCCAGCAGCCGCGGUAAUACGUAGGUGGCAAGCGUUGUCCGGAUUUAUUGGGCGUAAAGCGAGCGCAGGCGGUUUUUUAAGUCUGAUGUGAAAGCCUUCGGCUCAACCGAAGAAGUGCAUCGGAAACUGGGAAACUUGAGUGCAGAAGAGGACAGUGGAACUCCAUGUGUAGCGGUGAAAUGCGUAGAUAUAUGGAAGAACACCAGUGGCGAAGGCGGCUGUCUGGUCUGUAACUGACGCUGAGGCUCGAAAGUAUGGGUAGCAAACAGGAUUAGAUACCCUGGUAGUCCAUACCGUAAACGAUGAAUGCUAAGUGUUGGAGGGUUUCCGCCCUUCAGUGCUGCAGCUAACGCAUUAAGCAUUCCGCCUGGGGAGUACGGCCGCAAGGCUGAAACUCAAAGGAAUUGACGGGGGCCCGCACAAGCGGUGGAGCAUGUGGUUUAAUUCGAAGCUACGCGAAGAACCUUACCAGGUCUUGACAUACUAUGCAAAUCUAAGAGAUUAGACGUUCCCUUCGGGGACAUGGAUACAGGUGGUGCAUGGUUGUCGUCAGCUCGUGUCGUGAGAUGUUGGGUUAAGUCCCGCAACGAGCGCAACCCUUAUUAUCAGUUGCCAGCAUUAAGUUGGGCACUCUGGUGAGACUGCCGGUGACAAACCGGAGGAAGGUGGGGAUGACGUCAAAUCAUCAUGCCCCUUAUGACCUGGGCUACACACGUGCUACAAUGGAUGGUACAACGAGUUGCGAACUCGCGAGAGUAAGCUAAUCUCUUAAAGCCAUUCUCAGUUCGGAUUGUAGGCUGCAACUCGCCUACAUGAAGUCGGAAUCGCUAGUAAUCGCGGAUCAGCAUGCCGCGGUGAAUACGUUCCCGGGCCUUGUACACACCGCCCGUCACACCAUGAGAGUUUGUAACACCCAAAGUCGGUGGGGUAACCUUUUAGGAACCAGCCGCCUAAGGUGGGACAGAUGAUUAGGGUGAAGUCGUACCAGGGG